UCUACCUUAUCGUGGGGGAUAACGUAGGGAAACUUACGCUAAUACCGCAUACGACCUACGGGUGAAAGCAGGGGACCUUAGGGCCUUGUGCGAUUGGAUGAGCCGAUGUCCGAUUAGCUAGUUGGUGAGGUAAAGGCUCACCAAGGCGACGAUCGGUAGCUGGUCUGAGAGGAUGAUCAGCCACACUGGAACUGAGACACGGUCCAGACUCCUACGGGAGGCAGCAGUGGGGAAUAUUGGACAAUGGGCGCAAGCCUGAUCCAGCUAUGCCGCGUGGGUGAAGAAUGCCUUCGGGUUGUAAAGCCCUUUUGUUGGGGAAGAAAAGCAAUUGGUUAAUACCUAGUUGUUAUGACGGUACCCAAAGAAUAAGCACCGGCUAACUUCGUGCCAGCAGCCGCGGUAAUACGAAGGGUGCAAGCGUUACUCGGAAUUACUGGGCGUAAAGGGUGCGUAGGUGGUUAUUUAAGUCUGUUGUGAAAGCCCUGGGCUUAACCUGGGAAUGGCAGUGGAUACUGGAUAGCUAGAGUGUGGUAGAGGGUAGCGGAAUUCCUGGUGUAGCAGUGAAAUGCGUAGAGAUCAGGAGGAACAUCCGUGGCGAAG
rnacentral:misc_RNA from 1 species